rnacentral:rRNA from 1 species
UGGGGAAUAUUGCGCAAUGGGCGAAAGCCUGACGCAGCGACGCCGCGUGAGGGAUGAAGGUUUUCGGAUCGUAAACCUCUGUCAGAAGGGAAGAAACCGCACUGUGCUAAUCAGCAGUGCCUUGACGGUACCUUCAAAGGAAGCACCGGUUAACUCCGUGCCAGCAGCCGCGGUAAUACGGAGGGUGCAAGCGUUAAUCGGAAUUACUGGGCGUAAAGCGCACGUAGGCUGCUUUGUAAGUCAGGGGUGAAAUCCCACGGCUCAACCGUGGAACUGCCUUUGAUACUGCUUAGCUUGAAUGCGGGAGAGGGUGGCGGAAUUCCAGGUGUAGGAGUGAAAUCCGUAGAUAUCUGGAAGAACAUCAGUGGCGAAGGCGGCCACCUGGACCGGUAUUGACGCUGAGGUGCGAAAGCGUGGGGAGCAAACAGG